rnacentral:rRNA from 1 species
GAUGAACGCUGGCGGCGUGCCUAACACAUGCAAGUCGAGCGGAGAUAUAGAGAGAUUCUUCGGAUACUUUCUUUAUCUUAGCGGCGGAUGGGUGAGUAACACGUGGGUAACCUGCCCUGCACAGGGGGAUAACAGCUGGAAACGGCUGUUAAUACCGCAUAUGCACACGCUGCCGCAUGGCAGAGGGUGGAAAGAUUUAUCGGUGCAGGAUGGGCCCGCGUCGGAUUAACUAGUUGGCAGGGUAACGGCCUACCAAGGUGAUGAUCCGUAGCCGACCUGAGAGGGUGACCGGCCACAUUGGGACUGAGACACGGCCCAAACUCC